GCGAGAUGCUAGCUUCCUGCUUCCCUGUUUACCCGAGGUCUUGAAAAGUUAUUUACGACGCUGUGCUUUCCGGCACUUAGCUUGGGAAUUCUUGUGUCUUUUAGAGUUGCAGAAUUUUUCGGACGUAAGAACGACUGAACAACCGAAAAACAGCUAAAACUGACAAAAGUUUAGGUCUCACUAGAGAAGUGUGAAGUGAGUGGGGAAGUUCGUUACGUAGUAAGCAAAACCAGUAAUUAAAUUAGUUUUAAUUAGUAGUCAGGCUCUGCGACUCGCUGGCGAGGUAGUGUUUAGCACUGUGUCUUCUCUCGAGUUUACAAGAUCCAGAGUGAGAAAGGCACGAAUAGAUUUUCAAAUAGUUGUCAGUUGUAAAAAGUCACCGUGAAAGGAAUAUCAGGAGCUCUGAGAAGAACUCGUGACAUGGAAUACGUCGAUGGCCGUCCAAGUGCAAGCCGGCUGAAGAAUCGCGUAGGCGAUGUAAUCACACGCAUCGGGGAAAGCUGGCGGGAAACACCAGUCCCGCCUCCUCGCGGACGGGCCAAUUGGGUCGCGAGUUGUGGUUCAAACUGCGGGUGCGCGGCGCUGUGGCUGCGAUGUCUCGGGUGAGCGUGGCGGUUGGCAGCGCGGUGGGAGACCCCGAGGGUCGGGAGUGGCUGGGCGGCCGAGGCUGGCGGGAGGAGGUGGGAAGAGGGGCUGCGGCCGGGCCGGGACUCGGGCUUCCUUGGGGCGUCCGUGGCUCCGAGCCCGAUUGAGCCACUGGCGGACCCCGGCGAUUGUCUUGACGGGCACCCGUCCCAAACCUGCUCGUCUGCGGUUUGGAGCCUCUGACUCCGGCUUGAGGGUCUGGGACCUGGAUUUGUGCCCGUUGGCCCAGCGCCCGGACGCCUCCCGGGGUAGAAAGGUGGACUUGUGCUGUCGCUUUCCCAACCCCCUUAUCUGGUACUUGUUUCACCCCUAGAGCGACCCACGAUGGCUACUCUGAUCUUCGUGGAUAAGGAAAAUGGAGAAGCAGGCUCCCGUGUGGCUCCUAAGAAUGGGCUGAAGCCGGGGUGCGGGCCUGUCAAAGCCUUAGAUGGCAGAGCUCAGGUUUCAGCACCACAGGUUGGCAAAGUGUUCCGUGCUCCACCAGCCUUACCUAAAGCUGCCAGAAAGGCUUUGGGAACUGUCAACAGAGCCACUGAAAAGUCAGUGAAGACUAACGGGCUCCCAAGCAGAAACAACCAAGCUUCACUGCCAAGAAGAUGA
rnacentral:lncRNA from 1 species